UACGUAGGGCGCGAGCGUUGUCCGGAAUUAUUGGGCGUAAAGAGCUCGUAGGCGGUUUGUCGCGUCGGUUGUGAAAACCCAAGGCUCAACCUUGGGCCUGCAAUCGAUACGGGCAGACUAGAGUACUGCAGGGGAGACUGGAAUUCCUGGUGUAGCGGUGGAAUGCGCAGAUAUCAGGAGGAACACCGGUGGCGAAGGCGGUUCUCUGGGCAUUACCUGACGCUGAGGAGCGAAAGUGUGGGGAGCGAACAGG
rnacentral:rRNA from 1 species